rnacentral:rRNA from 1 species
AGAAUCAACGCUGGCGGCGUGCCUAACACAUGCAAGUCGCACGAGAAAGGGUAGCAAUACCUGAGUACAGUGGCGCACGGGUGAGUAACACGUGAAUAAUCUACCUCCGAGUGGGGAAUAACUGAGAGAAAUCUUAGCUAAUACCGCAUAACACUUACGAGUCAAAGCAGCAAUGCGCUUGGAGAGGAGUUCGCGGCAGAUUAGUUAGUUGGCGGGGUAAUGGCCCACCAAGACGAUGAUCUGUAUCCGGCCUGAGAGGGCGCACGGACACACUGGAACUGAAACACGGUCCAGACUCCUACGGGAGGCAGCAGUGGGGAAUUUUGCGCAAUGGGGGAAACCCUGACGCAGCAACGCCGCGUGGAGGAUGAAGCCCCUUGGGGUGUAAACUCCUUUCGAUAGGGAAGAUAAUGACGGUACCUAUAGAAGAAGCCCCGGCUAACUUCGCGCCAGCAGCCGC